CUGAAAACAAAGAGAAAGAAGAGUAGCUUAAUCUUUAUUUGCAGCGAGUCUCGUUAGGUGUGAGGAGAUAAUUUCUAAGAUUAAAUGAAAAUCACUUUCGAGUUCUAAUUCUAAAUUUUUUAGUAAGAGUUAGUGGGAGCACCCAUUAUAGUGCCUGCGUAUCGUCAAGUAAUUGACUGCACGUGAAAGGUAUUGCUAGUAAUAGCAAUAUAAAUAAAGGGUGGUACCACGCUCAAAGCGUCCUUCAA
rnacentral:ncRNA from 1 species